ACUUUGGAAUAAAGAGAAUGAUG
rnacentral:piRNA from 1 species